UGGGGAAUUUUGCACAAUGGGGGAAACCCUGAUGCAGCGACGCCGCGUGAUUUAGAAGGCCUUCGGGUUGUAAAAAUCUUUUUUAUGGGAAGAAAAUGACAGUACCAUAGGAAUAAGGACCGGCUAAUUACGUGCCAGCAGCCGCGGUAAUACGUAAGGUCCGAGCGUUGUCCGGAAUCAUUGGGCGUAAAGGGUACGUAGGCGGGUAAGCAAGUUAGAAGUGAAAUCCUAUAGCUCAACUAUAGUAAGCUUUUAAAACUGCUCAUCUUGAGGUAUGGAAGGGAAAGUGGAAUUCCUAGUGUAGCGGUGAAAUGCGCAGAUAUUAGGAGGAAUACCGGUGGCGAAGGCGACUUUCUGGCCAUAACCUGACGCUGAGGUACGAAAGCGUGGGUAGCAAACAGG
rnacentral:rRNA from 1 species